GACGAACCGUGCGAACGUUAUUCGGAAUCACUGGGCUUAAAGCGCGUGUAGGCGGGAGGGCACGUCCGUCGCUGAAAUCCCCCGGCUCAACCGGGGAACGGGCACGGAUACGACCUUCCUGGAGGGGCGUAGGGGACCUGGAACUUCCGGUGGAGCGGUGAAAUGCGUUGAGAUCGGAAGGAACGCCCGUGGCGAAAGCGAGGUCCUGGACGCCUACUGACGCUGAGACGCGAAAGCCAGGGGAGCGAACGGG
rnacentral:rRNA from 1 species